rnacentral:rRNA from 1 species
UACGGGGGGGGCAAGCGUUGUUCGGAAUUACUGGGCGUAAAGGGCUCGUAGGCGGCCAACUAAGUCAGACGUGAAAUCCCUCGGCUUAACCGGGGAACUGCGUCUGAUACUGGAUGGCUUGAGUUUGGGAGAGGGAUGCGGAAUUCCAGGUGUAGCGGUGAAAUGCGUAGAUAUCUGGAGGAAUACCGGUGGCGAAGGCGGCAUCCUGGACCGAGAUUGACACUGAUGAGCGAAAGCUAGGGGAGCAAACGGG